UACGUAGGUGGCAAGCGUUGUUCGGAAUUACUGGGUGUAAAGGGUUCGUAGGCGGUGCGGCAAGUUGGGGGUGAAAUCUCUGGGCUUAACCCAGAGGCUGCUUCCAAAACUGCUGUGCUUGAGUGUGGGAGAGGCGCGUGGAAUUGCAGGUGUAGCGGUGAAAUGCGUAGAUAUCUGCAGGAACACCCGUGGCGAAAGCGGCGCGCUGGACCACUACUGACGCUGAGGAACGAAAGCUAGGGGAGCAAACAGG
rnacentral:rRNA from 1 species